UACAGAGGUCCCAAGCGUUGUUCGGAUUCACUGGGCGUAAAGGGUGCGUAGGUGGCUUGGUAAGUUUGAUGUGAAAUCUCCGGGCUUAACCCGGAAAUGGCAUUGAAUACUAUUGAGCUGGAGGUUUGGAGGGGGGACUGGAAUUCUCGGUGUAGCAGUGAAAUGCGUAGAUAUCGGGAGGAACACCAGUGGCGAAGGCGACUUCCUGGCCUGUUCUUGACGCUGAGGCGCGAAAGCUAGGGGAGCAAACGGG
rnacentral:rRNA from 1 species